UAUUUAGAAGCUUUGCUUUUGGAUAUCUUAGUGGCGGACGGGCGAGUAACGCGUGAGCAACCUGUCCUUCAGAGGGGGACAACGGCUGGAAACGGCCGCUAAUACCGCAUGACAUAUCCGGAUGGCAUCGUCUGGAUAUCAAAGGAGAAAUCCGCUGAAGGGUGGGCUCGCGUCCGAUUAGCUAGUUGGUAGGGUAACGGCCUACCAAGGCGACGAUCGGUAGCCGAACUGAGAGGUUGAUCGGCCGCAUUGGGACUGAGACACGGCCCAGACUCC
rnacentral:rRNA from 1 species